AUGCAUUGGAUGAGUUGGGAGGCUCUCGCACAACCAAAAAUCAGAGGAGGGAUGGGAUUCCGAGAGUUGGAAUUGUUCAAUAUAGCACUCCUUGGUAAACAUGGCUGGAGACUGAUGACUGAACCAAACUCUCUAUGUUCUAGAGUGUUAAAAGGAUGAUACUUCCCUUCUUGUGAUUUUAUGCAAGCAAGUGCUUCCAAGAAUUCUUCGGCGACUUGACGAGCGAUCAUUGCUGGGAGGAAAGCUUUGAAGGCUGGGCUGAUCAAGCGCGUUGGCAGCGGUACAACGGUGUCUAUUUGGGAAGAUAAAUGGAUCCCAGAAACACUUACACCCUGUAGCCCGCCUGGGAGAUGCGCAAAUCAGCUGGGUUGCUGA
rnacentral:rRNA from 1 species